UUGAAAGGGAAACGAUUGAAGUNNNGGCNGNCGGACNNGGGGGAAAUCAACUUUCGNNNNCNNUUUUGGAGUUUUGAAGAGUGUUAAAACCUUUGAGAUUUCAAAAUGUUCGCUCUUUUGGGGGACUUUCUCGUAGGUAGGUUAACAUCGAUUUUGAUCAUCAUAAAAGGAUUGGAGGAAUGUAGCUUCGAUCUCGUAUUGAAGUGUUAUAGGCCUUUGGGAAAUGGGAUGAUUAGGAUCGAGGAUUGCAACGAAUACCCUUUUGGGCUAUCCGCCUGAUCUCUGAUACGUGACCUUGGUAUUGAAAGCGUGCUUAUGAUAUUGAGGUAUUACGGUCAAAAGGUUAGGACGGAUUACAUUCGUUAAGGAUGUUGACGUA
rnacentral:rRNA from 1 species